AAUCAUGCCUAAAGCCCAUCAGAUUUUAUGCCCAUUUACAACAAAUAAAAAUAGAAACUUGUUAAUAUUUUCGGUUGCCAAGGAUCGAACCAACCACCUUCUACCUUUAAUAGCAUAGAAAACAAUUAGACUUCAAGACGUUCUUUAAAAUUUGAUGCCCUCUAAAAUACAUAUAAAUCUUUUUACCUAAAGCAUCUAUUUGGUGGGCUUUAGGUCUGGGUCAAGCUUGACGGCCUAUCAGGCCAAGGGCUCGGCCCAAAUAAAGAAGGCUCAGCCCAUAAAACUUAAGAGAGAAUUCCUCCUUAACUCUUUGAUCUCUUACUUUCUGGUUUUUCGUUAUGUACUUUCGGUCUUUUGUUCUGUACUUUUGGUUUUAUGUUUUAUUAAUUACUAUUCUCAUUCAUCGUUGAUAAAAAAGCGGCCCCAUUCUCCCAAAAAAUCCCUUAGUUACUUAUUAUUACAACUUCAUUACAAAAAAUUGGCGUCCACCAUGGGGCUAGGAAGAGUUUUCUCCUUUAUUGAAAAUCAUAUACGAUAUUGCCAGUAAUCCUAGAAAGCCACGACGAGAUGACGGAAACCUCGAACAAACAAGUAGAUGAGUUCAGUACACCUUGUGCCGCACCACCAGCUCGGCCAACGACGCCACCUCCUGUCGUCACUCUUGACACAGUUCCCGCCGAGCUCGAAGAAACGACACCACGAGGAACCAGUCUCGACGAAGUCAUUCGAUCUUUCCUCAACCGACUCGACCUACAUGAUGUAAGAACUGCCGAACACAUCAACGCAAUCGUCGCUGCCCAGGAGGCCUCCCAGAAUCAGAUCAAGUAACUAUAGUCCUCUACAGCACGAGUCGUUCGACAGCUCAUCGAUAACAAAAAAAAUUUACCGGAACAAACUCCUAUCACGGAAUGACCAGUGAAUCGACAAAAUAGGCCGGCCUC